CCGGCACGGGUGAGUAACACGUAUCCAACCUGCCGUCUACUCUUGGCCAGCCUUCUGAAAGGAAGAUUAAUCCAGGAUGGCAUCAUGAGUUCACAUGUCCGCAUGAUUAAAGGUAUUUUCCGGUAGACGAUGGGGAUGCGUUCCAUUAGAUAGUAGGCGGGGUAACGGCCCACCUAGCCAACGAUGGAUAGGGGUUCUGAGAGGAAGGUCCCCCACAUUGGAACUGAGACACGGUCCAA
rnacentral:rRNA from 1 species